rnacentral:rRNA from 1 species
ACAGCAGCAGCCGCGGGAAUACGAAGGGUGCAAGCGUUAAUCGGAAUUACUGGGCAUAAAGCGUGCGUAGGCGGUUUGUUAAGUCUGCUGUGAAAUCCCCGGGCUCAACCUGGGAAUGGCAGUGGAUACUGGCAAGCUAGAGUGUGUCAGAGGAUGGUGGAAUUCCCGGUGUAGCGGUGAAAUGCGUAGAGAUCGGGAGGAACAUCAGUGGCGAAGGCGGCCAUCUGGGACAACACUGACGCUGAGGCACGAAAGCGUGGGGAGCAAACAGGAUUAGAUACCCCGGUAGUCCCUGUCUCUUAUAC